CUGGGUGUAGUCAAGUACUUGACUUGUCGGUGCAUGUGUCAAGAUGAAAUUGAUCACUCCAGUUCAGGAGCUGUGUACAGUCGUAUUUUAAUUUAGCAAAACCUUGGCCAGGGUAGUCCUAGUGAGGAGUCACAGGACUGUUUGAGUUGAGCACGAUUCAGAUGAUCUGAUCAGGGUUGACAGUUUAAUCCUAAGUCGUUCUAUACACAGCGGUCAAAAGGGAUGAAUUAUACAGUAACCAUAUUCGCGUAGGUUCUGAAUGUUGCGAUUGCGACUAUUCGACCUAUCCGGACAUCG
rnacentral:lncRNA from 1 species